rnacentral:lncRNA from 1 species
AUUUUCUUGUCUUGGAAGUUCCAUACAAAUUGGAAUCAUGCCAUACAUAACUAACUGCCUUACUAUGGUGCCCACUCUACCCAGCCACACCAUACUGCAGGUUCUCUGUACCUGUCUCCUCUCUCCCUCUGUGCCCUUAUCCCGGCCUAGGACAGUGAACUAGAUGGUUAUUCUCCCCUUCUCUAAGGAUGCUACAGAAGGAAUCAGGAGGUUGGUGGAUCUGGAUAGCCAUCAAGAAAAUUAGAAGAAUCCUCUAGAGAGACCAACUGCAACUGGACGACACUGUGAUUAACGGAACAGAGUGGGAUAGGUUAGUGGGAGACAGGGGGCUUCAGGGAGGACCCAGCAGGCUGGUUUGGAGAUGACACCACGAGAGGAGAGCUCACCUGUGGGAUGCCAUUUAUGCUCUAAUCCUGUUGUCAGGAUUGGGUGUUGUUUUCUUCCCGGCAGGGACACCUGGGCCAGGAGCAAAGUGGAGAAUGAGUUGCCCUUCUGGAAAUUACAGCUAAUGCUCUCCAACUCCAUGCUCUCAGAUCCAUCCUGAAGAAGGAACUGGAGGUGCUAUUGGAUGUCAUUAUCCAGGCCUGCUGGGACACCAGCUCAGGUGGCAGAAACCUCAUCUGGAGUCUUGUUGAUGUAACACUCAGUGCUCUGACUGCUUCAGCAUGUACCUCUUCGACUGCAACCUGGUCGUGGGUGUUAACCUUACCAGCGUGACUAACAUACUAUGAUGUGCAGGUAAUGAAAACAUCAUUACACGAAGGGCUACAGACAAUGCAAACCUUGGUGCUAGUAUUAGAAACACCAAAUCAGGAGAAAGUUUCAGACAGUAAAAUGAGGUUAUAGAUUUAGUUGUUGAACAACUUGGAAUUCCAGCAGUACAGGUGUAAAGAUACUUUCUGGUGAAUUUUCCUGGAUAUAGAUCUCAGUCGUAUUGGAGCUGCUGUUGUAAUAGCCUGUGCAAAAAAAAAAAAAAAAAAAAAAAAAAAAAAA